AUGUCGGAGAACGAAGAUACCUGGGACUCUGAGGUCGCUGAUGGCCGUGGUCCCAGCUCUAGUACUGGCCCUAAUGCUACCGCAGCGCAGGGCACGGACCAGGAACGUAACGUCAGAAGGAUCGUUCACUACAAGGUCAAGUGGCCGCCGUGUUUCCACGGUGAUGGCAAAGAUAAGGACAGUUUCUCACUUUGGAAGGCGCGACUCGAACUCGCUGUGAAAGCAUGCUCUGAUAACCUGCAACAGGAUCUCGUCACCAUUCUACCCACUCGGCUGAGUGGGGAUGCGUUGGCGUAUUGGCUGUCCUUAGAAGAGGCAGAGAAGAAGGAUUAUGACACAAGUAUUAUGAAGUUGAAUGAAGUUUUUGGGAGGAAACAAUUUUUGUUGCAUUUUCAAACGUUUGUUAAUGCCAGACAACGGUUGAUCAAAGAGCCCUUGGAAGUGUAUGCUGCUGAAGUCACCAGGCUAGUGCUUGAAGCUUUCCCAAAUUAUGGGGCGCCAGCCAUCGCAAUGGAGCGGUUCAGGAGGUUUGUUGCUGGCCUAGAUCUCACUCUUCAGGCAAAGUGUCACGAGCAUGGAGCCACUACGCUGGAGGAAGCGUUGGCCAUUGCCGGCAAGUGGGAGAGGGCUCAGGAGGCUUUGAAACUUUCAGCCCCUGCUGGCCCUCAGUCACCGACCCCCCCAGUGGCUACCUCAGCGACAGAGACUGUUUCUGCCAUGGUGUCAGCUAAGCAUGAUGCAACUCAUCACAGUGCAUCACCUGAACUGGCGACUGCCGUUCGUGAGCUGUCGGCUGAUGUGCGAGCACUUCGGCUGGAGGUGGAUCGGCUGCAGCGACGAAAUGAUCAUGACUACAGGGCACAGCUGGAGCGUGGCCGAGCAUGGCAGAGGUCGUCCCGAGAGAGAGAGAGGUACUCGCACUCGCCAUCACCGUCUCCAGAGCGUCACUCUGCAUACUGGCCGCAUCACUCCUCCCAGGGAGGGGAUUAUUACUCCCGCCACAGAUCUUCACCAAGCCGACGGGACCAGGGCUACUCACAUACUUCGCCAUCGUCACCACACCGGGCACCUAGAUCAUCGAGCAGCCAGGACCAGUAUCGGCGUGCCAGUCCCGGUUAUCGGCGCAGUCCCAGCCCAGCGCCCGGCUAUCAGGGCCGCUGGGAGCACCGUCCUCUACACACGUCAUCCACCAGGGGGAGGGAGGAGCGCCAAUCACCCAACUGGUCCUCCUAUCGCUCCCCGUCCAGAGAGAGAGGACGGCACGUGAGCUUCAACGACAGGGACAACUUCUACCAGGGAAACGGCCGCUAG
rnacentral:lncRNA from 1 species